UUCCACCCUGAAUUCCUCUUGAAGGUUUCGAUCGAGGUUCCUCGAUAAAUGAUCCCCAUCCGGGCUUUCAUGGAAAUCAGACUCCAACCGAACUUCAGCCGAUAGGUCUGGACCCCCUAGCAGGCCAUAAUAACAGCCACGACUCUGCUCCACUCCUGUGGCAGAUCCUACGCGGCUCCAUUACUCCCUGGCAGGCCGCAGUAACGGCCACAAUUCUGCUCCACUCCCGGC
rnacentral:lncRNA from 1 species